rnacentral:tRNA from 1 species
GCCCUUGUAGCUCGGAUGGUAGAGCAAGCGCGAGCGCAAUUGUCGGUGGUUCGAUUCCACUCAAGGGCA